rnacentral:rRNA from 1 species
GACGAACGCUGGCGGCGUGCUUAACACAUGCAAGUCGAACGGAAAGGCCCUGCUUUUGUGGGGUGCUCGAGUGGCGAACGGGUGAGUAACACGUGAGUAACCUGCCCUUGACUUUGGGAUAACUUCAGGAAACUGGGGCUAAUACCGGGUAGGAGCUCCUGCUGCAUGGUGGGGGUUGGAAAGUUUCGGCGGUUGGGGAUGGACUCGCGGCUUAUCAGCUUGUUGGUGGGGUAGUGGCUUACCAAGGCUUUGACGGGUAGCCGGCCUGAGAGGGUGACCGGCCACAUUGGGACUGAGAUACGGCCCAGACUCCUACGGGAGGCAGCAGUGGGGAAUAUUGCACAAUGGGCGGAAGCCUGAUGCAGCAACGCCGCGUGCGGGAUGACGGCCUUCGGGUUGUAAACCGCUUUCGCCUGUGACGAAGCGUGAGUGACGGUAAUGGGUAAAGAAGCACCGGCUAACUACGU